GAUCCAUUAGCUCAGCUGGUAGAGCACCUGACUUUUAAUCAGGGUGUCGCUGGUUCGAGUCCAGCAUGGAUCACCA
rnacentral:tRNA from 2 species